rnacentral:misc_RNA from 1 species
UUUCCGUAGGUGAACCUGCGGAAGGAUCAUCAUAAUAAGUGUUUUAUGGCACUUUUUUAAAUCCAUAUCCACCUUGUGUGCAAUGUCAGGGUUGAUUUUUCUCUCGAGAGGAUCAGCCCCAAACAUCAACUAUAUCUCAACUCUUUGUCUGAAAAAUAUUAUGAAUAAAACAAUUCAAAAUACAACUUUCAACAACGGAUCUCUUGGCUCUC